rnacentral:snRNA from 1 species
UUUCCUUCCAGAUACAGUGCUGGAAGCAUCUGUUCUUAUCAGUUUAAUAUGUGAUACGUACUCGAUGAGAGGACUUUAUAUUAAAUGGAUUUUUGGGCUCGGGAGUUGGAUCCGUAGCUUGCUUUUUUUUUUUUUUUUUUUUCCAGGCCCAAAGAGUCGUGGUGAAUGGAGUCAAA